rnacentral:rRNA from 1 species
GACGAACGCUAGCGACAGGCCUAACACAUGCAAGUCAGGGGCAGCACAUGAGUAGCAAUACGAUGGUGGCGACCGGCGCACGGGUGAGUAACACGUAUGCAACCUGCCUGUAAGAGGGGGAUAACCCGGAGAAAUUCGGACUAAUACCGCAUAAUACCACGAGACUGCAUGGUUUUGUGGUUAAACAUUUAUGGCUUACAGAUGGGCAUGCGUAUGAUUAGAUAGUUGGUAGGGUAACGGCCUACCAAGUCUACGAUCAUUAGGGGUUCUGAGAGGAAGGUCCCCCACACUGGUACUGAGACACGGACCAGACUCCUACGGGAGGCAGCAGUGAGGAAUAUUGGUCAAUGGGCGAGAGCCUGAACCAGCCAAGUCGCGUGAAGGAAGAAGGUUCUAUGGAUUGUAAACUUCUUUUGCAGGGGAAUAAAGGACGGUACGUGUACUGUUUUGUAUGUACCUUGCGAAUAAGGAUCGGCUAACUCCGUG